rnacentral:tRNA from 1 species
GGGGAUGUGGCUCAGGUGUAGAGUGCUUGCCUUCCAUGCAUGAAGCCCUGGGAUCAGUCCCCAGCACUCAUA